rnacentral:lncRNA from 1 species
GAAGAAUUGCUGCAGAGGAACAGUUACAUCACAGCCUGAACCUGAUGGCUCAGCACCUGGAGCAGGGGGGGCUGGUCCAGGAAGGGCAGGAGUGAACAGUUCACCGGUGCUUCCCAGCUGACCAGAAGGGGUGGACCAUCACCCCCCCACCCCCGGCUCAUUUAAGAGCUGCCUUUUGAAGGGUGAGCAUCUUCUGCAUGAAGGCUGCUCUCUGAGGACUGUUCUACAGCUGGAGACCCCAGUGCCAGCUGAGUGAGGGAACUUUUUCCCAUAUAUGUUUCUUGGUAUUCCCAACAAUACUUUGUCUGGUAUUGCAGAAAAAUCUUGUCAGCUGUUUUGCUGCUCCCUAGGACAAACAAUUGGUUCCCACAGGAGCAGCAAUCCUCUGCCCAGGUCUCCUGUAGCCCACCAGCCCUGUCCCGAACUCCUGCUGUCACUGCAAACCCUCAGCAAAAUGAUGCUGCUAGGGUGAUGCUCUUACUUGCCUCCACAGUCUUCUGCACCUUGUUGGAUGUGGGUUCAGGAUAGCAGAACCUGUUGCAUCUGUUCCUGGCUUCUGUCGUAAGAAACUUCCUGAUUUAUCCACACUAACAAAUGACCCUGUUUGGAGAGGCUGUUCAGAGGGUCCCUAUAAAUGCAGCAGUCUCUCUGUGCCUAUGAGCAGUGGAAAGAACGACUCCCACGGCCAAGCUGCCGUGUCCUUGGGGUCAGAUGGCAGCAGGGUGCUGGGCUGUGGCUCUGGACGUGGUGGGACACAUUCUGAGCUCUGUGCUGUCUACAGCACUGGGAUAGCGAGCCUGGGGUUAUGUGGGCACCCAACAGGGUAGGCAGAUCCUUAUUUUGGACAGGUGGGCAGGCAGGCCUGCCAUUCCCUGAAAACAGAAUCUCUGCUGAAGAGCAUUAGAUGUUGCUUUUCUUUGUGCCAGUGGUGGCCAGAGGCAAUGACAGCAGCAGCGUCCUUAUUUGGAUGCAGUGUUUUCAACAGUUAUUUUAACAGGUCAGAAGUGAUGGAUCAGAACGGAAUUUAACUCAUUUCAAUGUUGCUGAAGCCAUUAAUGUUGUGUCAUGGUGUGCAUGCAGAAGAACCUCAUCCCCCUCCCAGCCCUAUGAAACGCACAGCAUCCAUUUGAACAAAGGAGCAACUGACCCAGCCGAGGGCUGACUGUGGCACAAUGCAGUGGUCUCUGGAAGAAGGGAAGGUGCAGGAAGGCCCUACCUGGGGGUCAGCUCCAGCCAUGAGAGCUGGUAGACGUGCAGACAGGUGGGAGCUGCAAACCCACGUUAUUUCUGCACCCCUGUGCACAAACACUCACUGACCGAGCUCUUACACUCUGCCAUAAAAUGUAAUGUCUUAUUGCUCCUGGAAUACGUGUGUUCCCAGAGCUGAUGUCUGUAGCCCAUAAGAGCAUAUGAUGAGUUCUCUUAGCGAGCAUGAACGCUGGUGUUGUAAGCACAGACAGUGCAAUAUUGACAACAUUUUGCUCUAGCGUUUAGUAUGAAUUUCACACGAGUAUUAGAAUGACGAGCAGCUUUUCUACAUGUGUAUUGAUUCAGCAACAGAAAAAUAACAACCUCUCAUUCAGCCAUUUUAUUGUCUGAACAAUAAAAGAUUCUGCUGGGUGAUUUGAGUCA